rnacentral:lncRNA from 1 species
UUAAUCAUGGAUUUUUAAACAAAUAUAUGUAAUGCGUGAUACAUCAACUUUAUAUUGAUGGAUGUGGAAUUAAAUAAUAAUAAUGUUAUGAUCUUUUUAAAAAAAAUAUUGUUUUAAUGUUUGGAAGGGUUAGUGUUGUCUUAUUCCAUUAUUUAUAUGAACACAAUUGUAUAACGAUAAAAACAAAUCAUCCUUGAUUAUUAAAAUAAUUAAAUUCGAGGCUUUUGUUCCAAAUACUUAACAUAUUUACCCUUCAGUCUACAUGUAUUAUUAUCUGUUUUUAUUCUAUAUCAUAUAUAAAAAAAUGGUGAUAGGGGUUCGUACCUCUUUUUGGUAAUCCAAACAAAAUAAAAAAAGAGUCAAGAAAAAGGGCUUGUUGAAUUAGAACCCAAAGUGGUGAAGAAAAAUAAAGAGAUGUUAAUUAGAAGAAAAACGAACCUCAAGUAAAAUAUUAUUAUUUAUCCAUCUCAUGAAUAAUUUUCAAUAAUAAAAACUUGAUUUAUUUAUAAAUGACCUUUGUAAUUUAGCAAAAAUAAUUAAAUUAGUCUAUAAGAAAAGAAAAGACAAUUCAUUUAGUUUAAUUUUCUCCAUGCAUUUAAUUUUGUAAUUAUUAUUAUUAUUUUUUAAUAAAUAGAAAGGUAAAAAACAUUAGAUUAAUUGGAUGGAAAGUUGAUGAGAAAAGAAAGCUUUUUUUUUUCUUCAAAAACAUACAUUUAAAUUAAGCAUGGUUAAAUGAUUAUUUAAUUAUUGUUGAUACUACAAGGAGUAAUUAGUUUUUUUUUUUAUAAACUAUAAGGACUAAAUUAUUUUUAACUCUAAAACUUUAGGGUAAAUUUUAGUAUGCUUUUAGAUGGUGUCUCAAAUUCAUCUCGAAAGUUUGGUUUGUAUAAUUCAAUCUCCUUGGUUGUGAUAAUAAGUAGUUUCAGCUUCCCUCAAUUUAUUUUGUCCAUUUCUGUUUGUGGUAACAAGGGAUCAUAAAUUUAAAUUUUAUUCUUAAAAUUUAAAAAAUAUUCUCAUUAUCAUCUAAAAAAUAUUAUAAACUAAAUAAAUAAUUGAAUUAAGAUAAAAAAUCAAUAAAAAAGUUGUUUUUUCAGAAAAACAAAAAUGAUAUCUAAAACUUGAGCUAAUAAUUAGUUGUUUCUCAUGUAAUCUCCAUACCCUACCAACUUCAAUUUUCAUUCACCGAUAACAAUAUCAUCCCUUUUUCUUAAUUUGUCAAUACUAAAUGUUAAAUGAAAAUAAAGAUUUAAAUGGUUCUACGUCUAUUUUGUUUUGUUUUCUUUCAGUAUAUUUUGAGUUAUAUCGAGGUAUAAUUUCAUCAUAAAUCCUAGGAGAAAAAAAUAAAAUUCACACAUAUUUUAUAGUAUAAAAUUGAGGCAUUCCUACGAGGAGAAAUUAAAAUUUACUCUAAAAUUUAUUCCACGGAAUUUCAAUGGUAUGCAUGCCAUGAUGCUUUCUGUUGAGUUUUUCUUUUCUAGAAAAUAUGAAGUGGGCCGGGGUAUUGUCUUCCAUGAUGCUUCCAGCUGAGACUUCAUACACAGAAAAGUAGAGAAACAGUACAGUAUGAAUAAUGGGAAAAAAGGUGGUGUUUCUUCUCCACCGAGUCUUGGCGGAAAUCAUGUGAUCGCAGAUAUACAGGCAACUAAAAGACGUGAGAUUUCUUGCUGAUCAUCAGUUUUCUUCUUUAUCUCUGCUCCUUCCAUUAACAGGUAGUGGCUGUCUAUCAAUGUUGCUCUCAGUCUUCACCAAUAUAAAACCGAUUAGAGAUGAGUGGAGCAAAGCCAUCGAGGCCUGAGUUCCCAAGAAAAGUGGUGUCUUAUUAUCAUGGAUAUGUGCAUUUUGGUGCCACCAUCCAGGGGACAGUGCAAGAUAGCAACGGCCACCGCAGAUAUUGCCUCUAAUCCAUCCAAUUUAGCUCUUUUUUUUCUCCCUCAAAACCACGUUUGAAAGACAGCGAAAUGCCGUUCACAGCAUCUUGCCUUCUUAUCAAAUACCUUUUGUUUACCCAAGUUUUUAGAGUGAUCGAGAUUGCAAGCAACCUUAGAAAAUGAUGGUUUUUACAUGUAAAUCUUUCGUUUUCUUCAAGUUGCUUAAGUUAUCUUCUUUCCCUCCUUGUUAAUGAUGGUUUUUUAUAUCUAAAGCAACUUUUCAUUUUAUUUUUUGCUGCAUGUAUUACCGUUUUAUAUUAUUUAGAAAGAAAGC